UCCGGUUUGGCACCGGCAGUCUCACUAGAGUGCCCGGCAUGACCCGCUGGUAACUAGUGACAAGGGUUGCGCUCGUUGCGGGACUUAACCCAACAUGUCACCGCACGAGCUGACGACAGCCAUGCAGCACCUGUCAUCCGGUUGUAUUGCUACAAAAGACGUAUCUCUACGUUUGUCCGGAGAUGUCAAACCCAGGUAAGGUUCUUCGCGUUGCUUCGAAUUAAACCACAUGAUCCACCGCUUGUGCGGGCCCCCGUCAAUUCCUUUGAGUUUUAGUCUUGCGACCGUACUUCCCAGGCGGGGAACUUAUUGCGUUAGCUCCGGUUCUGCAGGGGUCAAGACCCGCAAAACCUAGUUCCCAUCGUUUACAGCGUGGACUAC
rnacentral:misc_RNA from 1 species